GGAGAAUUGGCCGAGCGGCUGAAGGCACUGUCUUGGAAAGGCAGCGAAGCGCAAGCUUCCGGGGGUUCAAAUCCCCCAUUCUCCGCCA
rnacentral:tRNA from 1 species